rnacentral:lncRNA from 10 species
CUGAGAUCCACCAUCACAUUUGUACCACGUCCAUACUGGCUGCUCCCAGCCACAGGCUGCUCCUAGCCAAUGACUGGAUGUGGUGGGCAAGCCUGUUCCUGGGACACAAGGGACUCCUCUGACAGCCAACUUUGGUUCACAGACUCCAUAACAACCUUGCUGAAGCUUCCUUAGGCUGCACAAUGGUCUAGGACACUUCCACCUAACCUUCCUUCCCUCUCUCCAUUUGUGAGAUAGACUUGUUCCAUAGUCUAACAGCUCUUUCUGCUCCCUACCCAUUUUCUCCCAGACAGGUAUUUCCCCUAACAAAAUCCUUGCACAUUUAAUCCCACCCUGAUGUCUGUCUCUCAGACUAAGACAGCUUGCUUUUUCAUUCUUGGCCUUUUUCAAUAAAAAUGGGAGGGCAGUGGUCUUAGUAUGCCAAUAUAGGCUCCUUACAUUCUGCUAGAUUGGGUCGCAGUUUGGAGAAAACAGAUUCAAAUCAGUGUAGUAGAAAACAGAUAUCACAUCUUCUUUCUUUCAAGGCACAGAUUACCCUAUAUACUAGUGAACAGUCUCAAGCCUGUUUGAGGGGAAGGGGAAGAGUUGAUGAGCAAUACUAAAAAUCAUCUUAUUAAAAAUAUAAGUAAGAUAAUUCAAUGCCCUUUAUGUAGUUAUAUGUGACAAUGUGAACUAGGGCUUAUUUCCUGAAAUAUUUUUACAAUCUUUUGUUCCAAAACUGAUAUGAAAAUUUUCUCUUACCAGGGGAUGCAUUGGGCUGAAAUGUCAUGGAAUGCUUUUCUGGGACUCUCAGCUCCAUCAAACCAUAAAUGAGAUUGGUGGUGGGGAGAAUCUUCUCUGGCCUAUACACUUUCCAUGGGAACCAUCAUGGCCAUCCCAUAGGCUUACUAGAAGAGCUGCUGUGACCUUUAUUCCUGCUUAGCCCAAUCUCAGCAGACCAGGGAAUAACAAGAACCAUUGAUUCCCCUGAGCUGCGCCAAUGUGGUUCCAGCUGUAACAGCACAAGCCCUGGAACACUGCUCAUUUGAUAAGAAAAGAAGUCUGCAAGCCAAGGAGAGAGGCCUCAGGAGAAACCAGCCCUUCUGACACCUUGAUCUUGGACUUCUAGACUCCGGAACUGUGAGAAAAUAAAUUUCUGUUGGUUAAGCCAUCUAGUCUGUGGUGUUUUGUUAAGGCACCCCUAGCAAGCUAAUGCAAGACUCAUAUUCAGAAGAUAGAGAGAGCUUUAUAAAACAAUAUCAAAAAGACAGUCAAUACAAUGAGAACUGUACAAAAAAAAUUACAGAAAGCACUUCACGAAAG